UUUCUGUAGUCCGUAUAUUUGCAGGUUGUGUAGUUUGGGAUCAGAUUUAUCAGACAUAUUGCUUGCAGGACAUUGACGGCAGAAACUUGAAAUUUAGUGUGGAGUGCUACCUUAAGGUUGUGUAGUUUGGGAUCAGAUUUAUUAGACAUAUUGCUUGUAGGACAUUGACGGCAGAAACUUGAAAUUUAGUGUGGAGUGCUACCAUAUGCCC